CCAUACGACCGUACCGCAAACCGACACUGGUGCGCGAGAUGAGUAUUCUAAGGCGCUUGAGAGAACUCAGGAGAAGGAACUCGGCAAAUUGACACCGUAACUUCGGAAGAAGGUGUGCCCUAUUAGUGUGUAGUGAACAACGAAGCAUGAAUGGGUUGCAAAAAAUCGGUGGCUGCGACUGUUUAUUAAAAACACAGCACUCUGCAAACACGAAAGUGGACGUAUAGGGUGUGACGCCUGCCCGGUGCUGGAAGAUUAAAUGAUGGGGUGCAAGCUCUUGAUUGAAGUCCCAGUAAACGGCGGCCGUAACAAUAACGGUCCUAAGGUAGCGAAAUUCCUUGUCGGGUAAGUUCCGACCUCACGAAUGGCGUAACGAUGGCCACACUGUCUCCUCCUGAGACUCAGCGAAGUUGAAAUGUUUGUGAUGAUGCAAUCUCCCCGCGGAAAGACGGAAAGACCCCAUGAACCUUUACUGAAGCUUUGUAUUGGACUUUGAACAGAUCUGUGUAGGAUAGGUGGGAGGCUUUGAAGCAGGGUCGCUAGAUCUUGUGGAGCCAACGUUGAAAUACCACCCUGGUGUGUUUGAGGUUCUAACCUAGGUCCAUUAUCUGGAUCGGGGACAGUGCAUGGUAGGCAGUUUGACUGGGGCGGUCUCCUCCCAAAGCGUAACGGAGGAGUUCGAAGGUACGCUAGUUACGGUCGGACAUCGUGACGAUAGUGCAAUGGCAUAAGCGUGCUUAACUGCGAGACUGACAAGUCGAGCAGAUGCGAAAGCAGGACAUAGUGAUCCGGUGGUUCUGUAUGGAAGGGCCAUCGCUCAACGGAUAAAAGGUACUCUGGGGAUAACAGGCUGAUACCGCCCAAGAGUUCAUAUCGACGGCGGUGUUUGGCACCUCGAUGUCGGCUCAUCUCAUCCUGGGGCUGUAGCCGGUCCCAAGGGUAUGGCUGUUCGCCAUUUAAAGAGGUACGUGAGCUGGGUUUAAAACGUCGUGAGACAGUUUGGUCCCUAUCUUCCGUGGGCGCUGCAGAUUUGAGGAAGCCUGCUCCUAGUACGAGAGGACCGGAGUGGACACACCUCUGGUGUAUCGGUUGUCACGCCAGUGGCAUUGCCGAGUAGCUAAGUGUGGACGAUAUAACCGCUGAAAGCAUCUAAGCGGGAAACUUUUCAAGAUGAGAUCUGCCGGGGCCUUGAGCCCCCUAAAGAGUCGUUCAAGACCAGGACGUUGAUAGGUCAGGUGUGGAAGUGAA
rnacentral:rRNA from 1 species